rnacentral:rRNA from 1 species
UAGGGAAUCUUCCGCAAUGGACGAAAGUCUGACGGAGCAACGCCGCGUGUGUGAAGAAGGAUUUCGGUUCGUAAAACUCUGUUGUUAGGGAAGAAAAAAUGUAUAGUAACUAUAUACAAAAGAGACGGUACCUAACCAGAAAGCCACGGCUAACUACGUGCCAGCAGCCGCGGUAAUACGUAGGUGGCAAGCGUUGUCCGGAAUUAUUGGGCGUAAAGCGCGCGCAGGUGGUUUAGAAAGUCUGAUGUGAAAGCCCACGGCUCAACCGUGGAGGGUCAUUGGAAACUAAUAAACUUGAGUGCAGGAGAGAAAAGUGGAAUUCCUAGUGUAGCGGUGAAAUGCGUAGAGAUUAGGAGGAACACCGGUGGCGAAAGCGGCUUUUUGGCCUGCAACUGACACUGAGGCGCGAAAGCGUGGGGAGCAAACAGG